rnacentral:lncRNA from 1 species
CAAGAAUUGCAUAUGCUUCAAGCAAUUUAAAUCUUUCAAGUUAAGUCAUGUAAGUCACAUAAUAGACUUUAGAUGCAUAUCAAGUUUUCACGUCAUGCUGAACAAAUAAGAGAUCGAAAAUUGAUUAUACAUACCUUUGACUUUUAUACUCUCAAGUAUUUGAACUACAUGUACAAAUCUACAUGUCUUUCACAUGGAAUCAAGUAUUUGUCUAUACGCUUUAAGCGUAUCAAAGA